CAAAGAGUAGUUUAUAAAAAUAAUAAUUUUGGAGAUUAUAGAUAAAGUAAUUCUUUUUCUUUGA
rnacentral:tRNA from 1 species